UCGUCCAUCGGGCAUCAUCUCGGCCUCCGCAUUGGUGCCGCAAGGUUUCCCUGAUCGAUGACGACCCUGACGCCGUCUACGGCAGCCGCAUCGGUCGCGCUCUUCGCCCUGUUGGUCCGUAAUGGGGAGCAGCAGCACGCUGCGAUACCGCAGGACUUCCCUACGCCGCCGCUCACCGCCAUCCGGAACCUCGUCGAUGCCUUCCUCCUGCCCUCUCCUCAUCCCGCGGCUUCGGGUCCCACCAAUUCGAGGUUCUUUCCCCUUUGUGGUUUCUUAAUGUGGACUGUUGGUUGCUUUUAUGGUGGUGUAUGUAGGAAACUGAUGAUGAGGUGAACGGUGUCGGCGCUGUCGGACUCGCUUAUAUUCUUUCCCGCGGUCAUCUACUGUGUUUGUUGGAUUACUUUCGGCGCAAUGUUGGUGGUAAUGGAGAGGAAGGUUCGGCGACGUGGUGCUUGCGUUGAUACUGCUUAAAACAGAGCAGGCAUAGAUUGUUAUGAGAAGAAGUCCAAUAACCAGAAGUGCACAACCAGCUGCUAUUCCAAUGAUCAAGCCAAUAGCUAUUGGCGAUUUUCCUUCAACGCCUAGAUAAUUUAUUGAGUCAGCAUAAGAAAUGAUCUUAAGUUGUAUUUGUACAUAAAGGAUGGAGAAGUCACCUGGGAAAGGAUAUUGGAAUGCUUUGAAAUAGUAAGGUCCGAAAAUUUCAGGUGGCUUGUAUAUUUGAUUGCUCAAUUUGAAUCCAAUCUGUAGAAUUUCAGACCUGUUGAAGUACAUUCCGCUGGAUGGGAAAAUUUGAACUUGUACCUGCAGGUAAGAGUCAUUGUUGAAAAAGGGGUUUUGAAGAAACACUGAUCCAGGAGGAAGGUCAAGUUUUUUCCACAGGCUGCUUUCCAAUGAUUGGAACAGUGUGCUGUUUGUCACAUCUCGGAAUAGAGGUGCUCUGAAAAACAUCACUCCCUCAUAUGGGUAGACGCAUUUGCAAUUUUGUGGGUUGAGACUCUGAUCUGGGGGACACAAGUUCGCUGCACAUUCGGCAAGACUGGUUGAAUAAGAAGGAAUUGCUGGCUCUUGUCGAAGACUGCAAAAUAUUGUCUUGGAGAGCCAAUGGCAUAGAGGAUUUCCUAUGAGACUGCAGUCAACAACGGAUUGAGGAAAUGUUGGAUAAACAGUUGCAUUCAAUGAAAUUGCAGUCUGAUUAAAAUGUCAAAUCUGCAUCCAGAAUUCUUACAUGAGAGUUCUAUCAUAACUGGCGUCAUGUGCAACUCCUGUAAGCUUAUUAUUUUUGAAAUUUACGAUUUGUAAUUGCUGGCUGAUGCUAUUGCCCAUGUCAAGGGUUCCGUUAAAUUCAUUGUUAUCAAGUAUCCUGAAAAAUGUUGACAACAAUAGUCAAAUUAGACCCAAGGAUUUCUUUGUUUUUA